rfam:Mesocricetus auratus contig185769, whole genome shotgun sequence.
GGAUGUAAGGGUAAUCUGCUUGUGACAUCUGUCACCCCAGUGAUCACCAGGUUGAUUCCGCUGAUCUAGCUGGCUAGGCAGGUAUCCCCUUCCUCCCUCACUACGCCAUGUGCAUCAUUCCUGAAGCUGCAUGCUUGGUCAAUGCCUUUCCUGAAAUAGAGGAGGACUGGGCAAGGGUAUACAAGCAGCUACACUCUCCUGCUAGAACUCCCAAAUACUACCCAGAGAAUUAACCAAAUUCUGUGACAAAGGAUUAAUUUAUUCAUGGGGGCUCCACCCCCACUACCCAAAUGUCUCUAU